GAUUAGUGGCGAACGGGUGAGUAACACGUGAGUAACCUGCCCUUGACUCUGGGAUAAGCCUGGGAAACUGGGUCUAAUACCGGAUAUGACCGACUAUCGCAUGGUGGUUGGUGGAAAGCUUUUGUGGUUUUGGAUGGACUCGCGGCCUAUCAGCUUGUUGGUGGGGUAAUGGCCUACCAAGGCGACGACGGGUAGCCGGCCUGAGAGGGUGACCGGCCACACUGGGACUGAGACACGGCCCAGACUCCUACGGGAGGCAGCAGUGGGGAAUAUUGCACAAUGGGCGCAAGCCUGAUGCAGCGACGCCGCGUGAGGGAUGACGGCCUUCGGGUUGUAAACCUCUUUCAGUAGGGAAGAAGCCGCAAGGUGACGGUACCUGCAGAAGAAGCGCCGGCUAACUACGUGCCAGCAGCCGCGGUAAUACGUAGGGCGCAAGCGUUAUCCGGAAUUAUUGGGCGUAAAGAGCUCGUAGGCGGUUUGUCGCGUCUGCCGUGAAAGUCCGGGGCUUAACUCCGGAUCUGCGGUGGGUACGGGCAGACUAGAGUGAUGUAGGGGAGACUGGAAUUCCUGGUGUAGCGGUGAAAUGCGCAGAUAUCAGGAGGAACACCGAUGGCGAAGGCAGGUCUCUGGGCAUUAACUGACGCUGAGGAGCGAAAGCAUGGGGAGCGAACAGGAUUAGAUACCCUGGUAGUCCAUGCCGUAAACGUUGGGCACUAGGUGUGGGGGACAUUCCACGUUUUCCGCGCCGUAGCUAACGCAUUAAGUGCCCCGCCUGGGGAGUACGGCCGCAAGGCUAAAACUCAAAGGAAUUGACGGGGGCCCGCACAAGCGGCGGAGCAUGCGGAUUAAUUCGAUGCAACGCGAAGAACCUUACCAAGGCUUGACAUGAACCAGACCGGGCUGGAAACAGUUCUUCCCCUUUGGGGUUGGUUUACAGGUGGUGCAUGGUUGUCGUCAGCUCGUGUCGUGAGAUGUUGGGUUAAGUCCCGCAACGAGCGCAACCCUCGUUCCAUGUUGCCAGCGGGUAGUGCCGGGGACUCAUGGGAGACUGCCGGGGUCAACUCGGAGGAAGGUGGGGACGACGUCAAAUCAUCAUGCCCCUUAUGUCUUGGGCUUCACGCAUGCUACAAUGGCCGGUACAAAGGGUUGCGAUACUGUGAGGUGGAGCUAAUCCCAAAAAGCCGGUCUCAGUUCGGAUUGGGGUCUGCAACUCGACCCCAUGAAGUCGGAGUCGCUAGUAAUCGCAGAUCAGCAACGCUGCGGUGAAUACGUUCCCGGGCCUUGUAC
rnacentral:rRNA from 1 species